CAUUCAUUCGCAGAGCAAGGUUGCCAGGAGGAUUUACAAUUUCGAAAAUUAGUCGAAAUGGAUUUGUUGCGAUAUUUCUUUCCAUUUUUUUCUGCCUUGGGCUAAUCAGGAGUAGUUUGGGAUGGAAUUUAUUUCCAUGGACGGGUACAAGUUCACUCGGGAAUUUCACGAGGGAGAAACUUUCUUCUUUGAGAAACCAACGGAAUCGCUUGCAGAGUCUUGUCAUUGAGGAGGAAAGGGCAGAAAUAGGGGAAAAAGAGGAAAAAGUGACGCUGAAUUCAUCCCUGGCAAGUAAAUUUUCAAGGAAAAAUUUCGUGAAAAAUUUUGUACCCGUGAAUGAAAUAAUUGAGAAAAUGUCUGACAAAAGGAAGCCACAGAGUUUUGAUCCACGUCUGGAAUUGGUUGACAGAAUGUUGAAAUCUGAAAAGAUGAAAAAUAUUUUAAAUCUAUUUCCGAUUGACUUUGGAAUUAAAAUAAAAAAGAUAUUAAAGAUCGAUGGGUUGAAGGAUAGUCAUGAUGAUUAUUCCGGAAUUAAUCUUGCCGCCAGUAGAGGAGGAGGAGGGGGUGG